rnacentral:antisense_RNA from 1 species
GGGUGCUUAAGGCUUUCUGUCUUAAGCAUUAGUGAGGGACAGAAAGCAGUAAGCCCCGGGAAGAUGUUUCCAUCCACCCGAGGCUAUCCCUCAUACCCACGCAAGGAUGAGGGUAGCCUCUUACUUCACGCAUUGCAAGGAGUAAAAGGCAUG